rnacentral:tRNA from 1 species
CGGGGCGUAGCGCAGGGGUAGCGCGGAUGGCUGGGGGUCAUCAGGUCGGAGGUUCAAAUCCUCUCGCCCCGACCA